CCGAAAGCGGGAGGCUACGACGCACGGUCCACACUCCGGCCGCCGGGACCGCGCCGAGCCACUGGCGAGACCGACCCGCGUACGU
rnacentral:ncRNA from 1 species